ACCUACCAAAGAAAGAAGUUGAAACAACGCUCAUAGUUCAGGUUUUGGCCAGGAGCCGAAUCAAAGCAUCGAGAAUGAAUAACAUAAUAGAGCGCCCAGGUAAAUGAGAAGUAAAAAACGGGAGAGUUGGUAAAGCCUAUAGCCACUACUUUAUGAUAGAUAGGCAUAAGUUCACAAUCAGAAAGGGAGGGCAAGGUUUCUUAAACAGCAGAAAGGAAUUGGAUCGAAGAUCCAGGUACCUAGGCCACUUGAACACUAAAAAAUGGGUUGCCCCUAUUCAAAUAGAAAAUAACGCAGCUCGUCCUUCUUCAGGGGGCCGGACUGAAGACGUGAAGCUAGCAAUCAAAGUGUUCCUGCGCACUCGAGAUUGAUCGACCAAAGAUGCCGCACCUGGAUAUUCGAAUGAAUAUUCCGCAAACGAAGUCACUUGAAUAGUUGUACGGGAGGAUGAGGAUACCUUUCUAGUAUCAGCACCUAUUUUAGGAUUAGGAUUCUUUGUAUAUUGAUUUUGAUCAAGCAAGAGCUUUUGUGUAAAGAAGGGGCUGCUAGAAAAUAUAGAGCUAUUGAAGAAGAAGGGGUUGCCCUAAGGCUUAGAACUGCCAUAGUUUUUGUACGACGAGCAGGGUCAAUGUGAAUUGAGAUGGCAUUGAAUCAUCUAUCGUAGGAGCUCUAAGCCUGUCAGCACUAAGACUACUAAGACAAAUUCAGUCUAUUUGGCCACUAUUCCUACUGCUACUCCUACAGCUAUUGCAGUAAGGAAGGAAUUCGCUUUCAACCUUGUAGCGGGGGUUUCAAAUGGAUUACAUUCCUCAUCCUUCUCUCCAUCUUUCCUGUGCUAGAAAAAGGGAAUUCGGUAAUGCAGUAAUGGUUAGCAGUCAAUUCAGUAAUCGAGGGAGAGCAGCGGCUGCGAGUAGAGAAGAGACCACUUACAGAAAAAAAAGACUAUCUAAUCAGAUUGACCUCACCUGAUGGCUUGGAAAAGACUGAUAUUCUUACUUACGCCCUGGAUUCAUUCAUAUAAUGCUUGUUUACGGCUUAUCAGCCCCCCAUCCCUACUUGACUAAGCUAAGGAACUACUGAAAAUGGCACGAAAUCACAGACGGAAGUAAUCACACUACUCAUACGGGAAUAUGAAAGCUACUAGGCCUGCUUAGGCCUGUUGAUGGCGGAUGGAAGUACCGAGGUGCGUUUGGUGAUAUCGUAUAGUUGAUCACGGCUGCAUGACGGAGUGAUCUUUCCCUCUUUCUAUCAUAAGAGAAGAAAGAAAGCAUUAAAGCAGAGCAGCGGCUGCGAGUAGAGAAGAGAACACUUACAGAAAAAAAAGACUAUCUAAUCAGAUUGACCUCACCUGAUGGCUUGGAAAAGACUGAUAUUCUUACUUACGCCCUGGAUUCAUUCAUAUAAUGCUUGUUUACGGCUUAUCAGCCCCCCAUCCCUACUUGACUAAGCUAAGGAACUACUGAAAAUGGCACGAAAUCACAGACGGAAGUAAUCACACUACUCAUACGGGAAUAUGAAAGCUACUAGGCCUGCUUAGGCCUGUUGAUGGCGGAUGGAAGUACCGAGGUGCGUUUGGUGAUAUCGUAUAGUUGAUCACGGCUGCAUGACGGAGUGAUCUUUCCCUCUUUCUAUCAUAAG
rnacentral:lncRNA from 1 species